UUUUAAUUAAAAAUAAAAACUAAAAAAUUAAAUAAAAAGAUAAAAUAUAACUGUGGUACUUUCAAAGCAAGUUCAUUCGAAAACCAGAAUCGAAACUCUCGUAUACCAAACAUACACUGCAACGACCCGACCCACUAGCAAUAAUAACUCGUUGGGCCCAAACCACCGGCCCAAAAUGCUUAAGCCUGAUUAUUAUUACUAGGGUGUAGGUCUCUGUUUAGACCCUGACGUUCUCGUUGGGUCCAAAUCAGAUCACAGACAGACUAGGAUCAUUACCAGACGAUGUGAGAUUCUAGAGGUGACUCCCACCAAACCCGUUGGUGUAGCACUUUGUCCCGUAUAGCACUUAGUUCUCACACUUCCGGCUGGUAUUCGGCUCUGAUACCAAUUGCAACGACCCGACCCGCUAGUAAUAAUAACUCAAUGGGCCCAAAUCACCGGCCCAAAAUGCUGAAGUCCGAUUAUUAUUACUAACGUGUAGGUCUCAUAUAAACUGAUUGGAAUCAGUAUCCCAUUCGAUGUGGGACUAUUGGGGGUGUUACAUAUACAAACGGAGCAAUCCAUUUUCAUUCUGAAUUCUAAUUCCU
rnacentral:lncRNA from 1 species